AGACAUUUAUCAUUGCUGAUUUCGAUUCAUGCAUUGUAGCUUUGUUAAUCAACUUCCUCAGCUCUGCCAGAAAUGCAGCAGCUGCUUCUUCAUCAGCAGGGACCCCUUGCUCAAGGCUUCCUAUAAGUUCAGUGCUUUAUGGUACAACGCAUUUGUCGUCAAUUGAAACACAUUUUCCAUUCAUGUCCUCCACCUGCAAAUCUAGAUGGUUCAACCUACUACACACCUAGGUACGUGGUAUACCCUACGGCUCCUAGGCUACAAACCUGUAUAGCAUGUGACUCUACUGAACACUGUAGGCA
rnacentral:lncRNA from 1 species